GUUGAGAUAGCGCCCUCAUAUUAAUACUAACUGUACGGUGAAAUUUUGCCCCUAGUCGUCUGCUCGGGAAAGGAUAAGCAUCACAAUAUGGUGAGUUACAGCUGCCAUUGACUACCAGGACACUUGGAGAUGUCUUCGGUUCCUUAGAGGCAGAGAAAGACAAUCUGGGAAUCCAGGAGUAUUCCAUCUCACAGACAACACUGGAUCAGGUCUUUGUCAAAUUUGCUGAUGGCUCGACAGACAGCAGUGAAGAGAAGAGCCAAGACUUCAUCAACCAAGCUUAUACAACCGAUGAAGCAGACAAAGCAAUUUAAGUUGUCUAAAAAACAUAGCAAAGUGAAUAAAAUCACCCUCUCCAUCAAAUCAUGGUCAAGUAAUGUUUAAUUACGCAAGGUGGAAGUAAAUGUAAAACAAUCCAGAACUAUAUUCCAGAAUUCUAAGCAAAUAAAACGGAACAUUUCUGAAAAGUUAUUCAAAAGAUGUAGGCAACGCCAUCAGCUUUGCUGCAAAAGAAAUUAACUAUAUAUAAUUAUUAUUUGAUGUUUUUAAUUAUGCAAGGUACAAGAGCAAUGUAUAAAAAACAAAGGUGAUGGUUUUGAAGAAAAUGUUAUAUUUUAAAGCAAUUCUAUAUGUACACAAGUUUUUAUAUCAAUAAUUUCAAGCACAGUUUGGACGAUACAAUUUGUUAGGGUAGUACAUGGUUGUGUAAGGUGGAAUCCCUGCAAGAAUGCUUAACAAUGGGGCAUUGGUUGAUUGUAAUACACAAAAUGUUAAAACAACUUAUAAUUUAAUACCUCACAAAAAGAUUUUAAUAAAAAUGGGAAUUAUGUUUAAAAAAGUAGAUGUAAAUAUAUGACACUAUAUUCAAACAACGAGAGUCAUUCCAAAACAAUUGAUUUGAAUUAUUAUAUUUUGAUUUAUAUUUAUUCUAAUUGAGUAUUCAAAUCAUCACUGUAAUGUUUAGCUCCUACAUUAUUAUUCUUAAACAUUUUUCACAAGUUGUAUUAUAGCUUAAAAACAUGCUCUCUGGUAGAAAUAAAGGUUGUUUUAUGUAAAACCAAAACAGUUGUCUUUUUGUAAAAAAGAAGAAGAAAUUACAGGGCAUGAGAAUGAGAUGUAAAUUGUUCAGAUUCAUCAUUCGGUGACCAAAUUAAUGUACAAUUCCUUGACAAACAAACGUCAUAACAAACUCAGUUUUAAUAA